rnacentral:lncRNA from 1 species
AAGUGAAGCGUCAAAAUUGCACGGGUUCCGACUGAAGAGAUGAAAAUACUACGAAGCAAUGUGAUCGAUUACAGAAAGCUAAUUGCAAAGAUGAUCUUUAUGCCAUAAUAUAAAAAAUAACAUAAAAAAGCGAAAACAACAUUUUAGUGAAUCGAUAUUGACAUAAUUAAUUACCGUUAUUUGAGUAUAUGAAAAUAAAGAGAGAUGGUAUUGCCAAUAAGACAAGAGAAAGACUGACACAGAAAUUAAUAGCUUUAGGCCUUUCAACAUUUUGUUAAAGCCAUACAACAAAUUCAGCUCUUAUUUAAAAGGAAUGACAAAUUUAAGACAUUUCAAACGAGAAAAAUAUUAGCCUCAUUUAUGUUCAAUAUGAUAUUCAGCGACAUACGACAACCACUAGAUUUCCAGCUUCUUACUCAUAGUAAUACAAAUAUAUUUGUCACCACAUUUAUACAAAUGAUUAUGAGUCAGAUUUAAACAUACUUUUUUGGAUAGUCAACUUUAAUUUUACAUUGAGACUCUGAGAAACAAUUUCUAUUUGAAAAUAUGGAUAUUGUCUUGGGACUAUUAAUUAAAAAAAUAAUUUAUAUAUAUUUACUGUUUUGUUACCUUUCUUUAACAUGUACUUUCAUUAUUAGAGUCAAACUAUCAGCCAUUAUUACAAUAUAUUAUUAUAUUAUGUUUUAUAUACAUUGUGUAUUACCUGUUUUGUUUCCUCCCCCUUUUUACCAUAGUCUUUUAUAAGAGUCUUACCAAAAGACUAUAAUUUAUUAUAAUAUAAUAAUGUUUUAUUUACAUUUUUUACAUAUCUAUUGUUUUUUUAUCUUCCAUUUAACAUGUACUUUUAUCAGAGUUAUACUUUCAUACAUCAUUAUAAUUUAUUAUGAUAUAAUAGUGUUUUCUAUACAUUUUCAUAAAUAUUUACUGUUUUGUUACGUCUCCUUUACCAU